rnacentral:rRNA from 1 species
AUUGAACGCUGGCGGCAUGCCUUACACAUGCAAGUCGAACGGUAACGGGCCUUCGGGUGCCGACGAGUGGCGAACGGGUGAGUAAUGUAUCGGAACGUACCUUUCAGUGGGGGAUAACGUAGCGAACGUUACGCUAAUACCGCAUAUUCUGUGCGCAGGAAAGCAGGGGAUCGCAAGACCUUGCGCUGAUUGAGCGGCCGAUAUCAGAUUAGCUAGUUGGUGAGGUAAAGGCUCACCAAAGCGACGAUCUUUAGCGGGUCUGAGAGGAUGAUCCGCCACACUGGAACUGAGACACGGUCCAGACUCCUACGGGAGGCAGCAGUGGGGAAUUUUGGACAAUGGGGGCAACCCUGAUCCAGCCAUGCCGCGUGAGUGAAGAAGGCCUUCGGGUUGUAAAGCUCUUUCGGCCGGGAAGAAAUCGUAUCAGCUAAUACCUGGUGCGGAUGACGGUACCGGCAUAAGAAGCACCGGCUAACUACGUGCCAGCCGCCGCAGUAAUAC